rnacentral:rRNA from 1 species
GAUGAACGCUGGCGGCGUGCCUAAUACAUGCAAGUCGAGCGAACAGACGAGGAGCUUGCUCCUCUGACGUUAGCGGCGGACGGGUGAGUAACACGUGGAUAACCUACCUAUAAGACUGGGAUAACUUCGGGAAACCGGAGCUAAUACCGGAUAAUAUAUUGAACCGCAUGGUUCAAUAGUGAAAGACGGUUUUGCUGUCACUUAUAGAUGGAUCCGCGCCGCAUUAGCUAGUUGGUAAGGUAACGGCUUACCAAGGCAACGAUGCGUAGCCGACCUGAGAGGGUGAUCGGCCACACUGGAACUGAGACACGGUCCAGACGCCUACGGGAAGCAGCAGUAGGGAAUCUUCCGCAAUGGGCGAAAGCCUGACGGAGCAACGCCGCGUGAGUGAUGAAGGUCUUCGGAUCGUAAAACUCUGUUAUUAGGGAAGAACAAAUGUGUAAGUAACUAUGCACGUCUUGACGGUACCUAAUCAGAAAGCCACGGCUAACUACGUG